rnacentral:misc_RNA from 1 species
ACGUCAUCCCCACCUUCCUCCGGUUUGUCACCGGCAGUCUCAUUAGAGUGCCCUUUCGUAGCAACUAAUGACAAGGGUUGCGCUCGUUGCGGGACUUAACCCAACAUCUCACGACACGAGCUGACGACAGCCAUGCAGCACCUGUGUGAUGGUUCUCUUUCGAGCACUCCCAAAUCUCUUCGGGAUUCCAUCCAUGUCAAGGGUAGGUAAGGUUUUUCGCGUUGCAUCGAAUUAAUCCACAUCAUCCACCGCUUGUGCGGGUCCCCGUCAAUUCCUUUGAGUUUUAAUCUUGCGACCGUACUCCCCAGGCGGUCUACUUCACGCGUUAGCUGCGUUACCAAGUCAAUUAAGACCCGACAACUAGUAGACAUCGUUUAGGGCGUGGACUACCAGGGUAUCU